rnacentral:rRNA from 1 species
GUGAGGAAUAUUGCACAAUGGGGGGAACCCUGAUGCAGCAACGCCGCGUGGAGGAUGAAGGUCUUUGGAUUGUAAACUCCUUUUCUUGGGGAAGAGGAAGGACGGUACCCGAGGAAUAAGUCACGGCUAACUACGUGCCAGCAGCCGCGGUAAUACGUAGGUGGCGAGCGUUAUCCGGAAUUAUUGGGCGUAAAGCGCACGCAGGCGGCAGAGUAAGUCUGACGUGAAAUCUUCUGGCUUAACUGGGAGGGGACGUUGGAGACUGCUUGGCUUGAGGUGAUGAGAGGGGUGUGGAAUUCCCGGUGUAGUGGUGGAAUGCGUAGAUAUCGGGAGGAACACCAGUGGCGAAAGCGGCACCCUGGCAUCGACCUGACGCUCAUGUGCGAAAGCGUGGGGAGCAAACGGGAUUAGAAACCCUAGUAGUCC